rnacentral:rRNA from 1 species
AUUGAACGCUGGCGGCAUGCCUUACACAUGCAAGUCGAACGGUAACAGGUCUUCGGAUGCUGACGAGUGGCGAACGGGUGAGUAAUACAUCGGAACGUGCCCGAUCGUGGGGGAUAACGGAGCGAAAGCUUUGCUAAUACCGCAUACGAUCUACGGAUGAAAGCAGGGGACCGCAAGGCCUUGCGCGGACGGAGCGGCCGAUGGCAGAUUAGGUAGUUGGUGGGAUAAAAGCUUACCAAGCCGACGAUGUGUAGCUGGUCUGAGAGGACGACCAGCCACACUGGGAAUGAGACACGGCCCAGACUCCUACGGGAGGCAGCAGUGGGGAAUUGUGGACAAUGGGCGAAAGCCUGAUCCAGCCAUGCCGCGUGCAGGAUGAAGGCCUUCGGGUUGUAAACUGCUUUUGUACGGAACGAAAAGACUCUUUCUAAUAAAGAGGGUCCAUGACGGUACCGUAAGAAUAAGCACCGGCUAACUACGUGCCAGCCGCCGCAGUAAAAC